UGGGGAAUAUUGGACAAUGGAGGCAACUCUGAUCCAGCAAUUCUGUGUGUGUGAAGAAGGUUUUAGGACUGUAAAACACUUUUAGUAGGGAAGAAAGAAAUGACGGUACCUACAGAAGAAGCGACGGCUAAAUACGUGCCAGCAGCCGCGGUAAUACGUAUGUCGCGAGCGUUAUCCGGAAUUAUUGGGCUUAAAGGGCAUCUAGGCGGUUAAACAAGUUGAAGGUGAAAACCUGUGGCUCAACCAUAGGCUUGCCUACAAAACUGUAUAACUAGAGUACUGGAAAGGUGGGUGGAACUACACGAGUAGAGGUGAAAUUCGUAGAUAUGUGUAGGAAUGCCGAUGAUGAAGAUAACUCACUGGACAGCAACUGACGCUGAAGUGCGAAAGCUAGGGGAGCAAACAGGAUUAGAUACCCUGGUAGUCCUAGCUGUAAACGAUGAUCACUGGGUGUGGGGAUUCGAAGUCUCUGUGCCGAAGCAAAAGCGAUAAGUGAUCCGCCUGGGGAGUACGUUCGCAAGAAUGAAACUCAAAGGAAUUGACGGGGACCCGCACAAGUGGUGGAGCAUGUGGUUUAAUUCGACGCAACGCGAGGAACCUUACCAGAUCUUGACAUCCUCCGAAGAGCAUAGAAGUAUGCUUGUGCCUACGGGAACGGAGAGACAGGUGGUGCAUGGCUGUCGACAGCUCGUGUUGUGAGAUGUUGGGUUAAGUCCCGCAACGAGCGAAACCCCUAUCAUUAGUUACCAUCAUUAAGUUGGGGACUCUAAUGAAACUGCCUACGAAGAGUAGGAGGAAGGUGGGGAUGACGUCAAGUCAUCAUGCCCCUUAUGAUCUGGGCUACACACGUGCUACAAUGGAUAGUACAAAGAGAAGCUUUGUAGCGAUACAUGGCAAAACUAAGAAAGCUAUUCUUAGUUCGGAUUGAAGUCUGCAACUCGACUUCAUGAAGUUGGAAUCACUAGUAAUCGUGAAUCAGCAAUGUCACGGUGAAUACGUUCUCGGGUCU
rnacentral:rRNA from 2 species